rnacentral:misc_RNA from 1 species
GUGAAUCAUCGAAUCUUUGAACGCAAAUUGCACUCUCCUCGGAGAGUAUGCCUGUUUGAGGGUCAGCCUAUAUAAAAUCGACAUCGUUGCUGUUUCGCGGUGGCGUUCGUCGGAAAUUGGGUUAUCUUAAAUCCUUGGUGUAUGUAACUUACUUAAAAUUUUCUGUUUGCUUCCAUGAAUGCU